UGUAGAGCUGAAAUUACCAAGUUGAUCACCCGAAAUGGAUGGUACUACGAAGCCUGCCCCAUGUGCUACAAACAACUGAAGCAAACACCAAACAACAACUUGCUUUCCUGUUCAAAGCAUGGCUUCCAGACUGCACAACCAACCUUCAGAAUGGAGGUGCACCUCGAAGAUAAAAGUGAUUCAACCUCAGCCAUAUUAAUAGGAAAACCAGCAGAUGUUCUCUUUGGAGUCACUUGCCAAAAGUUAGUGAUCGAAGAAGGUUACACAGACCAAGACAACCCUCCAGAACAAAUCUUCAAGAGCAUUGGCCAAUUCAAAAUCUGGGAAAUCAUAUUAAAAGACCGAGAUGACCUGAAAAUCAAAGCUGUCUAUCCAGACAUCCAACCAUCACCAGAAAAGAUGGUUACAAAUGUGACACCAGAACAUCAACCACCUUCAAAAAGAGCUUUGCAACUACCUAAAGAGUCAACUCAAAAAGAGCUCUUCAAAUUAGAAUCCAGCAAAAAAUAAAAAAGUACACAAGAAGAAGGCAAGAGCGCACAUGCCAAGCAAGAUUAGAAACUGCAGCUCCUUUUUUUGAAGACUGCCAACAGAAGAUCAGUGAAGCCAGUCAUCUACUUUCCGCUGACUACAUGACAUUCUUUGAACUGCAUCGCAUAAACCAUUUUUUGAAAAGAUAAUGGUUUUUACACUUUUAAGCAAUGUCAAUUAGCAGCGAAUGAAGCCAUGAACAUCCUUUUU